AGGGGGAUAACUACUGGAAACGGUAGCUAAUACCGCAUAACGUCGCAAGACCAAAGAGGGGGACCUUCGGGCCUCUUGCCAUCGGAUGUGCCCAGAUGGGAUUAGCUAGUAGGUGGGGUAAAGGCUCACCUAGGCGACGAUCCCUAGCUGGUCUGAGAGGAUGACCAGCCACACUGGAACUGAGACACGGUCCAGACUCCUACGGGAGGCAGCAGUGGGGAAUAUUGCACAAUGGGCGCAAGCCUGAUGCAGCCAUGCCGCGUGUAUGAAGAAGGCCUUCGGGUUGUAAAGUACUUUCAGCGGGGAGGAAGGGAGUAAAGUUAAUACCUUUGCUCAUUGACGUUACCCGCAGAAGAAGCACCGGCUAACUCCGUGCCAGCAGCCGCGGUAAUACGGAGGGUGCAAGCGUUAAUCGGAAUUACUGGGCGUAAAGCGCACGCAGGCGGUUUGUUAAGUCAGAUGUGAAAUCCCCGGGCUCAACCUGGGAACUGCAUCUGAUACUGGCAAGCUUGAGUCUCGUAGAGG
rnacentral:rRNA from 1 species